rnacentral:rRNA from 1 species
GAUGAACGCUGGCGGCGUGCUUAACACAUGCAAGUCGAACGAAGCAUUUCCUUUUCUUCGGAAAAGGAAAUGACUGAGUGGCGGACGGGUGAGUAACGCGUGGGUAACCUGCCUCAUACAGGGGGAUAACAGCUGGAAACGGCUGCUAAUACCGCAUAAGCGCACAAUGCUGCAUGGCAUAGUGUGAAAAACUCUGGUGGUAUGAGAUGGACCCGCGUCUGAUUAGCUAGUUGGUAAGGUAAUGGCUUACCAAGGCGACGAUCAGUAGCAGACCUGAGAGAGUGACCGGCCACAUUGGGACGUAGACACAGCCCAAACUCCUACGGGAGGCAGCAGUGGGGAAUAUUGCACAAUGGGCGAAAGCCUGAUGCAGCGACGCCGCGUGAGCGAAGAAGUAUUUCGGUAUGUAAAGCUCUAUCAGCAGGGAAGAGAAUGACGGUACCUGACUAAGAAGCACCGGCUAAAUACGUGCCAGCAGCCGCAGUAACAC